AUGGACGCCCGUGCGAGCUUCCAGUGCCGCCUCGUCCUUGCUCCACCACCUGGAUCCGCCAAGCCCAAGCCGCCUCGCCCGAGCUCCGCAGUGCCGUCCCCGCCUCCUCUGUCUUGCGCUUGUCCGAGUCGACGUCGGCAGGCUCCAGCUGUGUCGGCUCGGGUCCCCGCUGCUCCUACUCUGGCGAUGCGCCCGAGCUCGCCCGUCGUCGCGCGCCUCGACCUCACCUCCACCUCGUCGCGUCGGUGUCUCAGCACGCCGCACUCCUCCCGCAGCAGCUUCUCCCCAUGCCAGCGCCUACCUCCUCGUCCCCGUGGCCACAGCCGCGGAGCAGUAGCCCUCGCGCCCGAGCGUCGCAGACCCUGCUGGCCGCCCCUCUGCUCCCCUUCGCCCGUCCCUCUUUCCUCUCCUUCUCCUACUUGGCUCACAUCUCUCUCUCUCUCUGUAGCUGCUGCAGCAAGGAGCCGCCGCCACCGAGUUCGCCUACCGCGGCCGCUGUGUCCCCUGCUUCGAGCAGCAGGUCGGGAUCGAGCGCGCCCGCCCCGCCCGCGUUGGCCUCCGCAUCCGGCCACGCCGCCGGCAAGCCCUGCCUCCGUCGCCUCGCCAAGUUCCGCUGCCGGCGCCUCCUACCUCGCGCUGCCCUUUGCCAAGUCCAGCCGCGACCGUCGCCCCCUGCAUCCUUUGCUUCGUCUCGACCGCGCCCCGCUCGCGUUGACCCAGUCCAGCGCCCACCUCGGCCUUCCCUCCAGCCGGCCUGCAUGCGCCCUUUUGGGCCUCCUCCAUCAACUGGGCCUCAGCCCAUGGUUGCUUCUCUCGUUAGCUUCGGUUUCGUUCCGGAGUUGUGAGGAUUCGUUCGACUACAUCCGUUUGUCUUCUUCAUGGACUCGUUCUUCUUCCUUGCGGGAUCUCAGGCAAGAUGACCACCCCUCGAAAUCACUUCUAUCUUUGCUUUGCUAG
rnacentral:rRNA from 1 species